UAUCUCUGUAGAGUCUGCAUAUCAAUAAGCGGAGGAAAAGAAACUAACAAGGAUUCCCCUAGUAACGGCGAGUGAAGCGGGAAGAGCUCAAAUUUGAAAUCUUCAAGGUUUGACCUUGGCGAAUUGUAGUUUAAAGAAGUGUUUUCGGUUAGAGGAGUAGUAAAAGUUCUUUGGAAUAGGACAUCAUAGAGGGUGAGAAUCCCGUAUUUGACUAUUCUUUCUAGCUUUGUGAUACACUUUCAAAGAGUCGGAUUGUUUGGGAAUGCAGUCCAAAAUGGGUGGUAAAUUUCAUCUAAAGCUAAAUAUUGGCGAGAGACCGAUAGCGAACAAGUACCGUGAGGGAAAGAUGAAAAGAACUUUGAAAAGAGAGUUAAACAGUACGUGAAAUUGUCAAAAGGGAAGCGCUUGACACCAGUGUUGUUUUUCCGAAAAUCAAUUAAAAAUUGAUUCAUGCCAGGUUGUAUUGACCUUAUCAGCUUGCAAUUUGGUUUUGGGUCUCUUUUUGAUGCACUUUUCAGUUAACAAGUCAACAUCAAUUUCCUUUGCUGUAAAAAGGUAAGAGGAAGGUGGCUUCAAUUUCGGUUGAAGUGUUUAUAGCCUUUUAUCUCUGCAGUCGGGGAGAUUGAGGUCUGCAGCGUAGAUCCUUCGGGGCUAGAUACAUUUAUGCUAAGUCAUAGCUUUUCAUAGACAACUUGUUGACUAUGUUUAGUCAUGUAGCUUACUCGUAAGUGCUAUUUUACCUACGCUUAGGAUGUUGAGCGCAUGUCUCUCUCU
rnacentral:rRNA from 1 species